AACGCUAGCUACAGGCUUAACACAUGCGAGUCGAGGGGCAGCAUGGUCUUAGCUUGCUAAGGCCGAUGGCGACCGGCGCACGGGUGAGUAACACGUAUCCAACCUGCCGUCUACUCUUGGACAGCCUUCUGAAAGGAAGAUUAAUACAAGAUGGCAUCAUGAGUUCACAUGUUCACAUGAUUAAAGGUAUUCCGGUAGACGAUGGGGAUGCGUUCCAUUAGAUAGUAGGCGGGGUAACGGCCCACCUAGUCUUCGAUGGAUAGGGGUUCUGAGAGGAAGGUCCCCCACAUUGGAACUGAGACACGGUCCAAACUCCUACGGGAGGCAGCAGUGAGGAAUAUUGGUCAAUGGGCGCAGGCCUGAACCAGCCAAGUAGCGUGAAGGAUGACUGCCCUAUGGGUUGUAAACUUCUUUUAUAAAGGAAUAAAGUCGGGUAUGUAUACCCGUUUGCAUGUACUUUAUGAAUAAGGAUCGGCUAACUCCGUGCCAGCAGCCGCGGUAAUACGGAGGAUCCGAGCGUUAUCCGGAUUUAUUGGGUUUAAAGGGAGCGUAGAUGGAUGUUUAAGUCAGUUGUGAAAGUUUGCGGCUCAACCGUAAAAUUGCAGUUGAUACUGGAUAUCUUGAGUGCAGUUGAGGCAGGCGGAAUUCGUGGUGUAGCGGUGAAAUGCUUAGAUAUCACGAAGAACUCCGAUUG
rnacentral:rRNA from 1 species